UACGUAGGUGGCAAGCGUUAUCCGGAAUUAUUGGGCGUAAAGCGCGCGUAGGCGGUUUUUUAAGUCUGAUGUGAAAGCCCACGGCUCAACCGUAGAGGGUCAUUGGAAACUGGAAAACUUGAGUGCAGAAGAGGAAAGUGGAAUUCCAUGUGUAGCGGUGAAAUGCGCAGAGAUAUGGAGGAACACCAGUGGCGAAGGCACCAUUCUGGUCGGUAAAUGACGAGGAUGUGCGAAAGCGUGGGGAUCAAACAGG
rnacentral:rRNA from 1 species